CCCUUAGAUGUCCGGGGCUGCACGCGCGCUACACUGAAGGAAUCAGCGUGCUAAAACCAUUGUCGAAAGGCAUUGGUAAACCCAUUAAAAUCCUACGUGAUUGGGAUCGGGAAUUGCAAUUAUUUCCCUUGAACGAGGAAUUCCCAGUAAGUGUGGGUCAUAAGCUCGCGUUGAUUGCGUCCCUGCCCUUUGUACACACCGCCCGUCGCUGCCCGGGACUGAGCCGUUUCGAGAAAAGCGGGGACUGCUGCUGUCGGGGCUUUCGGGCCUUGGCUUCGGUGGAAACCGCUUUAAUCGCANUNGCUUGANCCGGGCAAAANUCGUANCA
rnacentral:rRNA from 1 species